AUGGUGGUGACAGGGGCUGCGGUGACAGGGGGCUGCGGUGGCGGCUCCCUGCCCUGCCCAUCUGGGGAAACUGAGGCAACCGCUGGCUGUGUCCUGUCCCCUGCGUUGUCCCCCGGUGGGGGGGGCUUCUGUCAGGGCUGUGGGUUGUGUCCCUUGUGCCCUGUCCCUGCUGUGUCAUGGCUGUGGCAUGUUCGUGUCCCUGUGUGUGACCCGUGUCCCUGUGUGCCAUUGCCAUGUCCCAAGGCUGUCUCAUGCAUGUGUGCCAUGGUUACGUGUGACACCUGUAUCUGUGUGCCAGGGCUGUGUGUCACACACAUGUCCGUGUGCCAGGGCUGCUGUCACAUCUGUGUCUGUGUGCCAUGGCUACAUGUCACACAUGUCCGUGUGCCAUGGCUACAUGCCACAGCUGUGUCCAUGUGCUAUGUCUGUGUGCCAUGGCUACGUGUGACACCCGUGUCCGUGUGCUGGGGCUGCUGUCACACCUGUGUCCAUGUGCCAUGGCUGUGUGUCACAUCCAUGUCCGUGUGCUGCAUCCGUGUAUCACAUCUGUGUCCGUGUGCCAUGGCUACAUGUCACACCCGUGUCCAUGUGCUGUGCCCAUGUGCUGGGGCUGCUGUCACAUCCGUGUCCGUGUGCCAUAGCUGCGUGUCACAUCCAUGUGCCGUUGCCGUGUGCCACAUGCCGUGGCUGUGUCUGUCCUGUGGCUUUGUGCAGUGUCCCUGUGCCAUGCCCUGUGUGCUGUGGCUCCAUGUCACACCCAUGCCCGUGUCCCUUGCCUGUGUGGCAUUGACAUGUGCCACAUACUGUGUCCCAUGGCCACAUGCCAUGUCCCUGUGUCCCAUCCCUGUCCCUCAUGUGUGCCCUGUGCCUGCACCCCAUCUCUUCAGUAUGGGCUGGGGGGCUCUGCCAAGGGAUGGUUACAAGGUGCUGGCACGUGUCCCCAGGGCCCGGGGCUGGUGGCGGGGGGGCUGGUGGGGUCCUGCCUUGCCCGUGGGUCGGUGA
rnacentral:lncRNA from 1 species